rnacentral:rRNA from 1 species
GACGAACGCUGGCGGCGUGCCUAAUACAUGCAAGUCGAGCGGAUCUCUUCGGAGAUCAGCGGCGGACGGGUGAGUAACACGUGGGCAACCUGCCUGUAAGAUCGGGAUAACUUCGGGAAACCGGAGCUAAUACCGGAUAAUCCUUUCCGACUCAUGUCGGGAAGCUGAAAGACGGCAUCUCGCUGUCACUUACAGAUGGGCCCGCGGCGCAUUAGCUAGUUGGUAGGGUAACGGCCUACCAAGGCGACGAUGCGUAGCCGACCUGAGAGGGUGAUCGGCCACACUGGGACUGAGACACGGCCCAGACUCCUACGGGAGGCAGCAGUAGGGAAUCUUCCGCAAUGGACGAAAGUCUGACGGAGCAACGCCGCGUGAGCGAAGAAGGCCUUCGGGUCGUAAAGCUCUGUUGUCAGGGAAGAACAAGUACCGGAGUGACUGCCGGUACCUUGACGGUACCUGACCAGAAAGCCACGGCUAACUACGUGCCAGCAGCCGCUGUAAAAC